UACAUACUACAUAGUCAUGAAACCAUUCAGGCUACUAUUGUUGAGACUAGCAUCUGGCCAGGAUCUCCAUCUACAAGUUGUGUCUCGUAUUAUAGCACACAGGUAGUAGCUAGUAUUUGAGAUGGAGAGGAGUACUACAGUAUGCACUCUAUCGAUGAACCUGCCUAGAGGUGAACGACUAUCUAUUUUACCAUUUAUUUUUAGAUACAGUUGUAUCAAGAAAGUGGGAUUCUUUUUGGUUGAGCAUUUAUAUGCCCGUUUUCUGACCUUACGUUCAUUACUCUGUUUCGGCAGAACGAUUAUGGCCGACAGUGGGAUUUGUUAUUCAGGACUUAAUUGGUUGCUCCAUCCAAAAAAUAACAAUAUCAGUAACAAAAGUAUCAUCAAGAAGUAGCUGUGCAGCUAUACCAAGGCCAUUUGAAAGGUCAGUCGAUCACUCUGUCACUUUCAUUUCCUUAUUCUUAGUUCAGCAUCUCAACAGUGUUUGUUGCUCCCAAACGCAGUUUACUCGCUGCUAGUUACCCUCCACACACUGGAGUCUUGGAAUGAUGAUUGGGGUCUGCCAUCCCGGCCUCAAGGGUUACACAGCCUUUCCUCACUCAUGGGAGUAGUAGUCAUGGUUUGUCCUGGUCGUUGCGUAAGGGGUGACCUCCCUGUUUCACUGCGACAGCUAGAUAUAUUACGCUUCAGUGCAGAGCUACAAGAGGGAAUGAAGAAAUUAGAAGGAACAAACCCAACUUUAGCCCAGCCCAAGGUAACUAUUAAUUCUCACCAUUUUCCUUUCUUUUCUCAAGGAAAUCGACCCCACCUAUCCUAUUACUCUAUAGUAUCAUACUAUUACUACUAAAUUUUGAAACCGGACAGGCUUGAUGGCAGAAUUACUCAUUUCCAAAGCGCAAUGUGCACGUAGAUAAACUGUGAAUCCUGGGUGCAAGUCAUGUGGCAUGUGCAAGUUGUCGGCCUAUCUGCCGGUUCGUACAUGGGUUUUUAUUUAUUUCAUUUGCAGUGCAAAAUUGUGUUGAAAUACAGCUACCUUCCUUUCCUAUACAGUUUUGGCAGCUCUCAUAUAAGCCGUGUGUUCCUACUGGUAUCAGAAAUGGACUACUGAAGUUUGCAUGUAUAGCAGCUGCUUGCAUUGCAUGGUAAACUAUGAAGACAUAGGGGACAGCCGAUUGAUUGAACUGGAGGUGAAUGGCUGUUUGUUUCUGCUUUACAGAAAUCUUAUGAAUGUGCGUUUCCUUUUAACUAAAAGUAUGACUACACACCCUAUUUUCGCUCUGUUUCUUUUAACUAAAAGUAUGCUAAAACAACACGUUUCUUUCAUGCAGUAUCAGAACAGUUUGAUUGCUUGCUCAAGCGGUACAUGACACCAUGCACCGCCAACUGCAUCUUGUGCAGAUUAUACCAUUCAAAAAAGAAAAACAUCUCGUGCAGAUUGUGGAGACUGCAUGUAUAUGUGGUGAUGUUUCACUGGCAUCCGUCAGACUUUCAGUUCCAGUUCAGCAAGUUCAAUCAUGUUGGCCAACUGAAAAUAAUGAAUUUGAGAAUUUAAAUGAGUAGUCCCCUUUGUUGUGUUCACUUUUCCGACCUUAUGAUAGAUUCAUUACUGGGAUUCUGCAGAACUAUUCACAGCCAACAAUGAAUCCAGAAGUUGGUUGUUCCAUCCAGAAAAGGAAACUGACGUGAGGCUCUGUCUUGACAUCUCGAGGGAGUCCUUUCUGUAUAAUCGACCCUAUCAAAGGUAAUUUGUUAAACCACGUAAUAUUCAGGUUCAAGGGGCGCACCACUUGGCCGGUUCAGUUGAGAUAAGUCUAGGUCUGGUUGGUUAGAGUAUAUGGUUGUAAUCUCCUCAUGUAUAUCUUAUCUCUACUUUCCUUGUAUCUCAAGAUGUAAUCUCAACAACCUUGUAUGCUUAUCAGGGAUAUGCCCCUGCCUAUAUUAACACGAAACCGUCGCCUCGAGAGAGGUACGACGUUCUCCGCUAUUUCACAUGGUAUACAGAGCCACCUCUAUCCAUCGCAUCUAGCAAAACCCAUCCAUCGCCAGCCAUGUCGUCCUCCAGCACCGUCCAGGCCUCCCUUGGGCAGCUUACAGAAAAACUCACCCGCACCAACUACGUCCUGUGGCGUGCGCAGGUGACACCGCAGCUGAGAGGGGCUGGCCUCUUCGGCUACGCCGACGGCUCCAUGCCAGAACCUGUCAAGAUCCUCGUCACGAAGGACAAAGACGGGAAAGAGGAGCAAACACCGAACCCUCUCCAUCCGAUCUGGUUCAGAGAAGGGCAGCAGGUACUUGGAUACUUGCUCAAUACUCUCACCAAAGAAGUCCUCGUGCAGGUUACCUCCAUCGCCACGCCGCACGAGCUCUGGGCGGCUCUCGCCCACAUGUUCUCAUCGCAGUCACGAGCCCGCGUCAACAACAUCUGGGUUGCUCUCUCCACGGCGCAGAAGGGGACGCAAUCUGUUGCGGCCUACUUCGCCCAGAUGAGAGCACUUGCCGAUGAGCUUGCAGCCGCCGGAAAGCCCAUCGAUGACGAUGAGCUUGUCUCCUACAUCACCGCCGGCCUCGACAUGGAGUACCAACCCCUCUUCUCCGCCAACGACGCGCGCACCGACCCAUCAGCAUCGACGACCUCUACGCUCAGAUGAGCAACUUUGAUCAGCACCUCGCUCUCUACAACAACAACUCGGGCGGGGGCUUCAAGUCAUCUGCUAACACGGUCUCUCGUGGCAGCGGUCGCGGCGGUGGCGGUUCACGCUACCAUGGACCUCCGCGCGGCAAGGGCAAGCCGCCAUCUGGUGGAAACAGCAGCGGCAACAACUCCUCUCGCGGCGGCGGCGGCGGCGGCGGCGGUGGUGGGCGGCCCUCCAGCAACAACAACAGGGGCCGCCGUGGUGGCAGGCCUCGCGCCAACCCUGAUGCGCCACGAUGCCAAAUCUGCGGCAAGCUAGGCCACACCGCCCGCGACUGCUGGUAUCGCUAUGAAGAUGACGGCGAAUCCUCACAAGAUGAGAAGGUUGCAGGCGCUGCUGAUGGCUCCUACGGCAUCGACACGAACUGGUAUGUGGAUAGUGGUGCAACUGACCACAUCACAAGCGAGCUAGAAAAGGUGACAGUUCGUGAGAAGUACCGUGGGCAAGAUCAAGUUCACACUGCCAACGGAGAAGGUAUGAGCAUUAGCCACGUUGGUCAUUCAGUGCUUAAACCCCCCCAUAGAAAUAUUGGUCUAAGAAAAAAUUUGCAUGUCCCUAGUGCCUCCAAAAAUCUCCUUUCAGUUCAUCGCAUUGCCAUUGACAACCAUGUAUUCCUUGAGUUUCAUCCAUUUUUCUUUUUGAUCAAGGAUCAGGUCACGAAGAAAACUCUGUAUCGAGGUAGAUGCAUUCGAGGGCUGUACCCGUUGAUUCCGGAGUUUAGGAGAUUGAAUAAACAAGCCUAUGGUGUCACCAAAGUCUCUUCAACACGGUAGCAUGAUAGAUUAGGGCAUGCAUCCUUUUCUUUAGUUGAACAUUUGCUUAAAAAGAAUAAGCUCCCGUUUGUUGGUGAUCGAGAUCGUGAAACAAUUUGUGAUUCAUGUCAGUGUGCUAAAAGUCAUCAAUUACCUUAUCCUGUGUCUACAAGCAUCUCCACCAAACCUCUUGAGCUCAUUUUUUCCGAUGUUUGGGGUCCUGCCCCUAAAUCAGUUGGCAGACACACGUAUUACGUAAGUUUUAUCGAUGACUAUAGCAAGUACACAUGGAUCUAUCUCAUCAAAAAGAAAUCUGAUGUUUUUCAAGUCUUUCACAACUUUCAAGCACUAGUAGAAAGAAAGUUUGAUUGCAAAAUCCUAGCUCUCCAAUCCGAUUGGGGAGGGGAGUACCGUAACCUCAACUUCUUUUUUCAGCAAAUUGGCAUAUCACACCACGUGUCAUGUCCCCAUGCUCACCAGCAAAAUGGAUCAGCUGAGUGCAAGCACAAGCAUAUAGUUGAAGUUGGCCUUGCCUUACUUGCUGCUGCCUCUAUGCCUUUGAAAUUCUGGGAUGAGGCUUUUCUCACCGCAGUCCACCUCAUAAACAUGUUGCCAAGUAGGGUCAUCAACAAUGAAUCUCCAGUAGAACGUCUCCUUCAUACAAAACCAGAUUACACAUCUCUACGAGUGUUUGGGUGUGCGUGUUGGCCGAAUCUUCGGCCAUACAACAACCGCAAACUCAUGUUCCGGUCAAAACAAUGUGUUUUCUUGGGCUAUAGUCCACAACACAAGGGUGUAAAGUGUCUUGACGUAUCCACUGGACGUGUCUAUAUUUCCCGUGAUGUUGUGUUUGAUGAAACUGUUUCCCCUUUUGCACAACUUCAUCCAAACGCCGGAGCCCUUCUUCAAAAGGAGAUUCUUCUUCUCCCUUCACAUCUCACCGGUCGUGACAAUGGGGAUGUUUUGGACACUGAUGAUCAAUUAUUGACUAAUCCUCUUACUAAUGAUGGUCUUGAGUCUUGUGAUGCAACAGAAAAAAAUUGUGCAGAAAAUGGUGACGAAAUCAGCCCAAAUCAUCAUUUUAUGCUUCCUGGACAAAACAGCAGCAGCAUCGAAGCGGAUCUCCCUCGGGAUCCAGGCGCAUCCCCCUCGGGAUCGCUCCUGCACCAGUCUGCCGUCCUGUCCCCCGCGGGAUCCGCGUCCUCCGCGCCAGGCCGAUCCGCCUCGAGCCCCGCGUCGCCACACGCCACCAGCGGCUCGGUGGACCGCCCGGUGGUCUCUCCGCGCCAACCAACCAGCACCACGCGGCGCCAACUCCAGCCGCCCGCGCCUGGUCCCGCGCCUGGCCCCGCACCUGGUCGGUUUGGCCCCGACACGCGCUGCUACGUGCGGCGGCCAUCCCGGCUGGAUACGGGUGCUGACUCCGGUGUGGAUCACGCUGUAGUCCCCGUCCCACCGGCGCAAUCAUUGCACCAUCAUGCGCCCCCUGCUGGAUCGGGAUCCUCUGCGGUGACUUCUCCUUCAUCUCCACGUGCGCCGGCCACAGAAGAUCUGGUCUGCAUGUCCUCGCCCAGCUAGCCUGCCGCCGCUCCUGGCGCUGGAUCUUCUGCGGCUCCUUCUUCACCACCUCGCACUAGGCUUCAGAGGGGAGUAACUCAACCCAAAAAUUACAGAUCUUUAGCAAAGUUUGGACUUGCUUGUGUUUCACAUGAACCAGAUAUCCCAUACUCUGUUGCAGAAGCUCUAGGCGAUCCAAAGUGGCAGAAGGCUAUGGAGGAUGAAUACAUGGCGCUCCACAAAAAUAAAACUUGGCACUUAGUUCCAGCGUGUCAAGGAAAAGGUAAAAAUGUUAUAGAUUGCAAAUGGGUCUUCAGAAUUAAAAAGAAGUCUGAUGGCACCAUAGAUCGUUAUAAGGCUAGACUAGUUGCAAAAGGCUUUAAACAAAGAUACGGUCUAGACUAUGAGGAUACCUUUAGUCCUGUAGUAAAGGCUGCUACUAUUCGUCUCAUUUUGUCUAUUGCCGUAUCCAGAGGAUGGAGUCUACGCCAGCUAGAUGUUCAGAACGCGUUUCUUCAUGGUGUUCUGGAAGAGGAAGUGUUCAUAAAACAACCUCCUGGGUUUGAAAACAGACAAAAACCCCUCCACAUAUGCAAGCUUGACAAGGCUCUAUAUGGAUUAAAACAAGCUCCUAGAGCAUGGUAUUCUCGGUUGAGUUCAAAGCUUCAAGGACUUGGGUUUGCUCCGUCCAAGUCUGACACCUCAUUGUUUAUUUUCAACAAGUCAAAUACAUCUAUAUUUGUACUUAUAUAUGUUGAUGAUAUUAUUGUCACAAGCUCAUCUGAUGAAGCUAUUUCAGCACUGCUCAAGGAUUUGAACUUUGAGUUUGCUCUUAAGGAUCUAGGAGACUUGCACUACUUCCUUGGCAUUGAAGUGAGACGAAGUGGAGAUGAGCUUCACUUGUCUCAAGAGAAGUAUGCCAUUGAUCUUGUAGCAAGAGCAGGAUUGCAAGGUUGCAAGGCAGCUCCAACACCUCUAUCCAGCUCAGAGAAACUAUCCUUAACAGAAGGGAAACUCUUGAAUCAAGAGGAUAGCACCAGGUACAGAAGUAUGGUUGGUGCACUGCAAUAUUUAACUCUGACUAGGCCUGAUAUUUCUUUUGUUGUGAACAAAGUAUGUCAGUUCCUUCAUGCACCCACUACAGUACAUUUGACAGCUGCAAAACGCAUACUUAGAUAUAUCAAGGACACUUCCAGUGUUGGACUCACCUUCACCAAGUCACCAUCAACACUUGUAAGUGCCUUUUCUGACUCUGAUUGGGCAGGUUGUCUUGAUGACAAACGCUCAACAGGUGGUUUUGCAGUGUUCUUUGGUCCAAAUUUAAUCUCAUGGUGUGCUAAGAAACAAGCUACUGUGUCUACAUCCAGCACAGAAGCAGAAUACAAAGCACUAGCAAAUGCUACUGCUGAAAUUAUUUGGGUUCAGUCAUUACUGAAAGAGCUUGGAAUACAUAGUAAACAGGCUCCAUGCUUAUGGUGUGACAAUCUGGGUGCCACCUAUCUUUCUGCUAACCCAAUAUUUCAUGCAAGAACAAAACAUAUCGAAAUAGAUUUUUACUUUGUCAGAGAAAGAGUUGCAGCAAAAAAGCUGGAUAUUCGGUUCAUUCGGUCUCAAGAUCAAGUUGCAAAUGGCUUCACUAAAGCUUUACCUACCAGAGGUUUUGAAGAAUUUAAGCGUAAUCUCAACUUGUCCAAGUUGUGAUUAUGGGAGGGUGUUAAACCACGUAAUAUUCAGGUUCAAGGGGCGCACCACUUGGCCGGUUCAGUUGAGAUAAGUCUAGGUCUGGUUGGUUAGAGUAUAUGGUUGUAAUCUCCUCAUGUAUAUCUUAUCUCUACUUUCCUUGUAUCUCAAGAUGUAAUCUCAACAACCUUGUAUG
rnacentral:lncRNA from 1 species